rfam:Bacillus sp. JCM 19045 DNA, contig: contig00006.
GGCUCAGUAGCUCAGUUGGUAGAGCAACGGACUGAAAAUCCGUGUGUCGGCGGUUCGAUUCCGUCCUGAGCCA